rnacentral:rRNA from 1 species
UUAGAUUAAGUUAUUAAGGGCGCACGGUGGAUGCCUUGGCACUAGAAGCCGAUGAAGGACGUUACUAACGACGAUAUGCUUUGGGUAGCUGUAAGUAAGCGUUGAUCCAGAGAUUUCCGAAUGGGGGAACCCAACACAAGUUAUGUUGUGUUAUCGACAAGUGAAUUCAUAGCUUGUCAGAAGGCAGACCCGGAGAACUGAAACAUCUUAGUACCCGGAGGAAGAGAAAGAAAAUUCGAUUCCCUGAGUAGCGGCGAGCGAAACGGGAAGAGCCCAAACCAAUAAGCUUGCUUAUUGGGGUUGUAGGACACUCUAUACGGAGUUACAAAGGAAUAUAUUAAACGAAUCAUCUGGAAAGUUGAAUCAAAGAAGGUAAUAAUCCUGUAGUUGAAAAUAUAUUCUCUCUUGAGUGGAUCCUGAGUACGACGGAGCACGUGAAAUUCCGUCGGAAUCUGGGAGGACCAUCUCCUAAGGCUAAAUACUCUCUAGUGACCGAUAGUGAACCAGUACCGUGAGGGAAAGGUGAAAAGUACCCCGGAAGGGGAGUGAAAGAGAACUUGAAACCGUGUGCUUACAAGUAGUCAGAGCCCGUUAAUGGGUGAUGGCGUGCCUUUUGUAGAAUGAACCGGCGAGUUACGAUCUGAUGCAAGGUUAAGCAGAAAAUGUGGAGCCGUAGCGAAAGCGAGUCUGAAUAGGGCGUAUAGUAUUUGGUCGUAGACCCGAAACCAGGUGAUCUACCCAUGGUCAGGUUGAAGUUCAGGUAACACUGAAUGGAGGACCGAACCGACUUACGUUGAAAAGUGAGCGGAUGAACUGUGGGUAGCGGAGAAAUUCCAAUCGAACUUGGAGAUAGCUGGUUCUCUCCGAAAUAGCUUUAGGGCUAGCCUCAAGUGAUGAUUAUUGGAGGUAGAGCACUGUUUGGACGAGGGGCCCCUCUCGGGUUACCGAAUUCAGACAAACUCCGAAUGCCAAUUAAUUUAACUUGGGAGUCAGAACAUGGGUGAUAAGGUCCGUGUUCGAAAGGGAAACAGCCCAGACCACCAGCUAAGGUCCCAAAAUAUAUGUUAAGUGGAAAAGGAUGUGGCGUUGCCCAGACAACUAGGAUGUUGGCUUAGAAGCAGCCAUCAUUUAAAGAGUGCGUAAUAGCUCACUAGUCGAGUGACACUGCGCCGAAAAUGUACCGGGGCUAAACAUAUUACCGAAGCUGUGGAUUGUCCUUUGGACAAUGGUAGGAGAGCGUUCUAAGGGCGUUGAAGCAUGAUCGCAAGGACAUGUGGAGCGCUUAGAAGUGAGAAUGCCGGUGUGAGUAGCGAAAGACGGGUGAGAAUCCCGUCCACCGAUUGACUAAGGUUUCCAGAGGAAGGCUCGUCCGCUCUGGGUUAGUCGGGUCCUAAGCUGAGGCCGACAGGCGUAGGCGAUGGAUAACAGGUUGAU